GACGAACGCUGGCGGCGUGCUUAACACAUGCAAGUCGAACGGAAAGGCCCUGCUUUUGUGGGGUGCUCGAGUGGCGAACGGGUGAGUAACACGUGAGUAACCUGCCCUUGACUUUGGGAUAACUUCAGGAAACUGGGGCUAAUACCGGAUAGGAGCUCCUGCUGCAUGGUGGGGGUUGGAAAGUUUCGGCGGUUGGGGAUGGACUCGCGGCUUAUCAGCUUGUUGGUGGGGUAGUGGCUUACCAAGGCUUUGACGGGUAGCCGGCCUGAGAGGGUGACCGGCCACAUUGGGACUGAGAUACGGCCCAGUGUCCUAUGUGAGGCAGCAGUGGGGAAUAUUGCCCAAUGGGAGGAAGCCUGAUGCAGCAACGCCGCGUGCGGGAUGACGGCCUUCGGGUUGUAAACCGCUUUCGCCUGUGACGACGCGUGAGUGACGGUAAUGGGUAAAGAAGCACCGGCUAACUACGUG
rnacentral:rRNA from 1 species